rnacentral:lncRNA from 1 species
GGCAUAUAUCACGAUUCAAUGUUUCAUCUUAACCAUCCAUUCAUGUUUUACAAAUUUUCAGCUGUGAAUCUUAAAAGGAUAUUUUUGAAAAGAAAAAAUGGCCAUUAAUUUCCAUCCCCUGUGAAAUCCCAAAACCCACCUCCCUCAUGGGUUUCCACUUCCUAUGAAAUAUGAAAAGUGUCUUCCCAUCCGAAGAGUCUUUUCUAUUUCUCUCCUCUUAAAACUCCAACCAAACAAGAGGACUCCUCUCCACAUCCUAGGAAUUGCCACUUCCUCCCUCCACUUCUUGUGAACCAAACGAGUCCUAAGAAAACUAUGAUGUUGGAUUCCUAUAAAUUAGUUAUAAAUUAUUGUGUUCCAAACAUGUCUAUACACUAGCAUAAAGUAGUAAACAACAAUCUAGGUU